GAUGAACGCUGGCGGCGUGCCUAAUACAUGCAAGUCGAGCGAACCAAAGAGAACUUGCUCUCUGAGGUUAGCGGCGGACGGGUGAGUAACACGUGGGUAACCUGCCUGUAAGACGGGGAUAACUUCGGGAAACCGAAGCUAAUACCGGAUGAUAAAGAGAAACGCCUGUUUCUCUUUUGAAAGUCGGCCUUGUGCUGACGCUUACAGAUGGGCCCGCGGCGCAUUAGCUAGUUGGUGAGGUAACGGCUCACCAAGGCGACGAUGCGUAGCCGACGUGAGAGGGUGAUCGGCCACACUGGGACUGAGACACGGCCCAGACUCCUACGGGAGGCAGCAGUAGGGAAUCUUCGGCAAUGGACGAAAGUCUGACCGAGCAACGCCGCGUGAGCGAUGAAGGCCUUCGGGUCGUAAAGCUCUGUUGUCAGAGAAGAACAAGUACCGGAGUAACUGCCGGUACCUUGACGGUACCUGACCAGAAAGCCACGGCUAACUACGUGCCAGCAGCCGCAGUAAGAC
rnacentral:rRNA from 1 species